rnacentral:rRNA from 1 species
GAUGAACGCUGGCGGCGUGCCUAAUACAUGCAAGUCGAGCGAACAGACGAGGAGCUUGCUCCUCUGACGUUAGCGGCGGACGGGUGAGUAACACGUGGAUAACCUACCUAUAAGACUGGGAUAACUUCGGGAAACCGGAGCUAAUACCGGAUAAUAUAUUGAACCGCAUGGUUCAAUAGUGAAAGACGGUUUUGCUGUCACUUAUAGAUGGAUCCGCGCCGCAUUAGCUAGUUGGUAAGGUAACGGCUUACCAAGGCAACGAUGCGUAGCCGACCUGAGAGGGUGAUCGGCCACACUGGAACUUGGACACGGUCCAGACUCCUACGGGAGGCAGCAGUAGGGAAUCUUCCGCAAUGGUCGAAAGCCUGACGGAGCAACGCCGCGUGAGUUAUGAAGGUCUUCGGAUCGUAAAACUCUGUUAUUAGGGAUGAACAAAUGUGUAAGUAACUAUGCACGUCUUGACGGUACCUAAUCAGAAAGCCACGGCUAACUACGUG